AAUGCGAUAAGUAGUGUGAAUUGCAGAAUUCAGUGAAUCAUCGAAUCUUUGAACGCACAUUGCGCCCGCCAGUAUUCUGGCGGGCAUGCCUGUUCGAGCGUCAUUACAACCCUCAGGCCCCCGGGCCUGGCGUUGGGGAUCGGCGGAAGCCCCCUGCGGGCACAACGCCGUCCCCCAAAUACAGUGGCGGUCCCGCCGCAGCUUCCAUUGCGUAGUAGCUAACACCUCGCAACUGGAGAGCGGCGCGGCCACGCCGUAAAACACCCAACUUCUGAAUGUUGACCUCGAAUCAGGUAGGAAUACCCGCUGAACUUAAGC
rnacentral:misc_RNA from 1 species